UCCCAUGCAAAGGAGAUCGCCCCGACCCACUCACCUCCUGGGCGCUCGCUCUCCCACGAAGAUAUGGAAGAACAAGAUACAGAGGUUACUGCUGGAUUCUGACUCCCUCGCAAUCUGUUUUCUUUACUCUGCAACCUUGGUUUCCAGGUUCUCUGGACCCCGCAACUGGCCAAAAAUCAAAAAAAGUGUGUGGGGGAAAGGAGAAUGAAACUUUUUGGAACAGGAUUACAGAUGAGAGCUUCAGGAGAACUGAUGAUGCCACGAUGCAGAAGAGUUACAUGGCCUUCAUUCCUCAAGUCGGUUUAGAAAGAUGCCAGUGUCACUCUUGACUGUAUCUGUAGAAGAGGAGAACACCACUAAAGCCAGCUCUCCAAAGGCAAGUGAGUUGAAUACAGAUCAAAUGCAAUCCUGCUUUCCUGAAUUCUUGCUGCUUUUCUUAGCUCCCUUGCGUGCUGCUACAGUUUGAAUGGUGAGAUUACAGUGAACACAGUUAGGAGAUUCCAGGCGUCUUCUCCUGGCUUUUAGAACUACCUUAUCCCAGGAAAGACCUUCUUUCUUUCUUUGUGAUGUAUUUCUUCUUAAAGUCUUGGAAUGAGGGAACAGGACGGGUGAGAAGGGUUUUGUUCUGAAGAUGAGACAUAAAUAAAGGAACAACUACAACAAAUAUGGAAAUAACUUAUUUGGAUAGCCUUUCUUCUCUUCCCAUAGGUUGCCCUUUUAGUUGUUUUGGGCUUGUUUGCUGAAAAACAAGAGUUUCUGUGCUAUUAAAAGAGUACCAUCUCUGCACUGCAGCACUACUGCUGUUGUUUGAUCAUGAAACGAUGAGCAAAUGUACUGCUGCACAGAGCACAUGAACUUUGCCUUCAGGAGAAACUUUCCUCUUUAAUUUAGUUCUUUACUCCUGCACACACUGACAUAAUACGCCACAAGCUUGUCUGUAUUCAGACAGGACUUGAAGUGCCAAGGCAAGGCUGCGGCAGCCAGUAAUUAUAAGCCAAGUUCUUUUGUUGCUCAGACUUGAUUGUCUAUCUGACUUCGAAAGCUUGCAUUGUCACACAAGCCAGUCUUCUUGGCCUAUCUUCUGUUGUUGCCUUUCAUUGGCCAUAGCUUAGUGGUGGUGCAUGAUAGAAACCUACAAGUUACUCAGAUGUAAUCAGAGUCUUUUUAAGAGCUAGGAGCAGAAGGUUUAUUUCAAUGCCAAUGUAAUCUCUCCCCCCCCCCCUCCACAUUUUUGGUGGCAGAAAAUAAAAUUUAGGAAUUAUAUUUUAACUUAAUAGCUUUAUUGACUUAAAAAAAUUAUUCAUCUGAUCAUUUCAAAAAUGGAUCCAGAUUUUGGAUGGGCCCCCUUCCGUAUGAGGAGCCUCAGGCAAUUUCAUCUUUGUAAAAUAUGGCUAGAUGUAAAUGCAAAAAAAUAAUGUUGGUUUCUUUGGAGAGAUAAUUAUCUUGAGGAAUUUAUUUUUAAUGUGGAUUUUCAAUCUCUGACAGCUCCAUAUGUUUAUUUCACUAACGUAAAAGUUAAUAAUGCCCGCUUUGUGUUUGAUAGUCCUAUUUUCUCGUCUAUGUCUCUGCUAUGCAUAUUUAUUUUCCAGUUCUUAAGGUACCUAAUUUGAAAUGGUGAAACAACACAGAUGGGUUAUUUCAUGUUCUUUCUCAUCAGUCGUCCAGUGAUCAUCUGGAAUAUCAGCUAUAAUUCAGUUGAGGCUCCAUUGUAUUGCAAUAUGCACACAAAUACUAAGGGCCAGAACCUAGUCUGAAAGCUACACAUUUGGUCUGUUUUACAAUCCCCACUGCUCUAAUGCCCACCCUCCCAGUGUAAAGAGGCAAGGCAGAAAGAAAUCAAAGUCACAGAGGUAUUUGAAAAAGGGAUGAUUUAGGUUCCCAUAUCUUAACCAUUGUUGCCACCAGUUAGUGAUUAACAUCAUUUUUCCAUUCCUGAAUUAAAAUGGUGUCCACCCAUUUUGAAGUGGCAUAAAACAAUGGCAGCACAAUACGAGGCCUGUCUCAGUUGCAUCAGUUCCAGUCACUGCUGAAUGGUAUUGUCCUGAUCUAUUUAUGUGCCAUUUGUUAUAAUUAAAGUAAUUAUGGUCUCUUAUGGCUUUGUUGCUGCUCUUCUUCACCCAUCACCAAUUAGUAGGGAAAAUAUCCACUCAUCCAAGCACCACAACAGGAAUUGAAUGGGGUUGACUUUGGGAUUCUGCCUGGGCAUCCCUAAUUUAUGUAUUUCUUUGCUAGAUAUACCCCACUUUUUCAUAAGGAGCUCUGGGCAAUGCUCUCUCAGCUCUUAGUCUUCUCUGUAACAAUAGCCUUGAGAAUUAUCUGAGAUCGAAAGAGUUACUUGGCUGAUGGUAGACAACAGCCUGAGUCUCCCCAGUCCUGAUCCAACAACUAAACUACUACACAACCCUGGUUCAAGGCUGGCUGGCCUGCUCCACCUCUCACAUUCAGUUUGGGCAUCUCCCAAGUUUAAAAAUACUGUAAAGAAACAUCUGGGAAGAAAUUAGCCUGGAGAGGAAGGAGGCCAGUCUUGUCCUGAUCAUGCCGGUGACUAGAUCUUGUAAAGCAUUAUAACUGAAAUUAACUAGCUGUUGACAAUCUGGUCUCUUACUUCAUGGAGAGGGAGGAGGAAAUGACCAAAAUUGGCCAAUAAGCAAGAAAAAAACGGGUUCCAUACCCCUCAAUAUGUUCUGAACACUGAAAUGAGGAAAAGUGAGUUGCUGCAUCUAACUCUAAUGAUGCAUUUCAGAAAACUGUUACAAUGGAAUACAGAUAGUCCUUGUUUAGUGACUGCCUCGGACAGUGCCCGUUCAGAGUUACGAUGGUGAUGAAAAAGUAACUUUGUGACCAAUGCUUCAUUUAUGACCUUCACAGCAUCUCUGUCUCUCUCUCUUAGUCACGUGUUCACCAUUAAACUCAGUUAGUAUGCUUUGUCCUGUGUCUGACUCGUUUUUCACCCUCCUUGCAGAGCAGAGAGAUAAACAAGCAAUCUCUUCUUGAGCUGCUUUUCUCCGCAGCUCAGCACUUCCCUAAAAAGUGAUAAGGGCAAGUGAACAAGCUCAGCUAUGUGACCUUGAUUAAUUGAUCAGAACCCUUUGCUGGGCCCUGCUGCUCCCUGACACUGACAAGACCAGUUUCACACUAAAGGCUUUUGUUUACCUCCUAAGUGGCUCAGAGAUGCAAGUGAGCUAGUUAAACAGCCAGCGCUAGCGCAUUCCUUUCGAUGUGUAUUCCCCAUUGUGUGCUUGCUUAUUGUCUUGUAAUCCC